UACGGAGGGUGCGAGCGUUGUCCGAAAUUACUGGGCGUAAAGCGCGUGUAGGCGGAUGAGCAAGUCUGCUGUGAAAGCUCCUGGCUUAACCGGGAGUGGUCGGUGGAAACUGCUCGUCUGGAGGACGGUAGAGGUAGGUAGAAUUCCCGGUGUAGUGGUGAAAUGCGUAGAGAUCGGGAGGAAUACCUGUGGCGAAGGCGGCCUACUGGGCCGGACCUGACGCUGAGACGCGAAGGCGUGGGGAGCGAACGGG
rnacentral:rRNA from 1 species